rnacentral:rRNA from 1 species
AUUGAACGCUGGCGGCAUGCCUUACACAUGCAAGUCGAACGGCAGCGCGGACUUCGGUCUGGCGGCGAGUGGCGAACGGGUGAGUAAUACAUCGGAACGUACCCUGUUGUGGGGGAUAACUAGUCGAAAGAUUAGCUAAUACCGCAUACGACCUGAGGGUGAAAGUGGGGGACCGCAAGGCCUCACGCAGCAGGAGCGGCCGAUGUCUGAUUAGCUAGUUGGUGGGGUAAAGGCCCACCAAGGCGACGAUCAGUAGCUGGUCUGAGAGGACGAUCAGCCACACUGGGACUGAGACACGGCCCAGACUCCUACGGGAGGCAGCAGUGGGGAAUUUUGGACAAUGGGGGCAACCCUGAUCCAGCAAUGCCGCGUGUGUGAAGAAGGCCGUCGGGUUGUAAAGCACUUUUGUCCGGAAAGAAAUCGCGCUGGUUAAUACCUGGCGUGGAUGACGGUACCGGAAGAAUAAGCACCGGCUAACUA